CGCGCGUAGUGCUGCUGCUCGGGCCCGACCGCGCCGGCCUCCGCAUCUCCCGGCCCCGGCUGCGGGCUGCGGGCUGCGGUCGGGGCGGUCCCAGGCCAAGGCGCCUGCCGCCGGGUGCGCUUCCGCGAAGUGAAGUCUAUCUCACGGGUUCCCGGAAUGGAGCGGGGGAGGCUGAAGAGAGUCGCGGUUUCGCUUCUAGUCCUGCGUUCGUUUUCGCUGGCAUCCACGGGGCCGGGGUGCGAUCUCUGGUCUUGGUCGUUAGACAGCUCGGGGCUGGAAGAACGGACUUGGCCGGUGCCCGCGGGUUUGCGUUUCCUUUGCACCUCUUUUACGAACUGUUUUCGGCUCCCAAACCAAAGCUGCUAACCUUGGGGGUGUUUGGAAAGGUAAAGUGCUUUCCUGGUAACCCCGCCGGUGAGAGGCUUCCUGUGGUCCGGUAGUCAGGCCUGGGAUAAUGGAAACCGGGGCUGAGAAGAAUGCUCAGUCCAGCCCGGGUCCCAGCCCUGCCACUCACUGUCUGUGAUUGUGGUUAUAGCCUUGGGUGAGACUUUGUCCCCCAAACAGGCUCUUGAUAUGGUUACAAUGGGGACAGAAGUUGAAAAAGCUACAUUAUUCCAUGGCUCAGCAAAUACUUCAAUGAAUCCUAGACUGGCCAAGAAAACUACACAGAUAACAUCCGGGCUGGGGACAGGGUCGGAGUGGGCUGCAGAGGGUGUGACAAUUAUAGAGAAGUCACUAAUUCCAGAUGGUCAUGACUAUGAGAGGGCUACAAAGGGUGCCAGCACUGAGUGUGUUAUGGGGUCAGGGAAGGCCUGAGCUGGGUCCCAGUGGGUGAGCAAAGGUUCACAAGCAGAUGGGAUAGAAGAGACCCCAGGCAGGGAGCUGAGCAGGAGCCAGCAGAGCCUGUGUGUUAAAGUUGUGUUUUGACAAUCAUCUUGGCAUGCUUGACUGGAGGAACGGCGAUGGGGUAACAAACAGAUUAAAGGACCUUGGAUAUCUUACCAAUGC